rnacentral:tRNA from 14 species
UAGAUUGAAGCCAGUAAGUAGGGUAUUUAGCUGUUAACUAAAUUUUCGUAGGAAUUUGAUUCCUUCCAAUCUAG